rnacentral:tRNA from 1 species
GUGUAUGUAGCUCAGUGGUAAAACAUUUGCCCACCAUGUGCAAGAUCCUGGGUUCAAUCCCCAGCACACACA